ensembl:lncRNA
GGGGCACCCAGGAUCCCAGACCAUCCGGUGAGGCACCCAGGAUCCCAGACCAUCUGGUGAGGGGCACCCAGGAUCCCAGACCAUCCGGUGAGGCACCCAGGAUCCCAGACCGUUUGGUGAGGGGCACCCAGGAUCCCAGACCAUCUGGUGAGGGGCACCCAGGAUCCCAGACCAUCCGGUGAGGCACCCAGGAUCCCAGACCGUUUGGUGAGGGGCACCCAGGAUCCCAGACCAUCCGGUGAGGCACCCAGGAUCCCAGACCGUUCGAUGAGGGGCACCCAGGAUCCCAGACCAUCCGUUGAGGCACC